CCUACGGGUGGCUGCAGUGGGGAAUAUUGGACAAUGGGGGCAACCCUGAUCCAGCCAUGCCGCGUGUGUGAAGAAGGCCCUCGGGUUGUAAAGCACUUUCAGUGAGGAAGAACGCCUGGUGGUUAAUACCCAUCAGGAAAGACAUCACUCACAGAAGAAGCACCGGCUAACUCCGUGCCAGCAGCCGCGGGAAUACGGAGGGUGCGAGCGUUAAUCGGAAUUACUGGGCGUAAAGCGCGCGUAGGUGGCUUGAUAAGCCGGUUGUGAAAGCCCCGGGCUCAACCUGGGAACGGCAUCCGGAACUGUCAAGCUAGAGUGCAGGAGAGGAAGGUAGAAUUCCCGGUGUAGCGGUGAAAUGCGUAGAGCUCGGGAGGAAUACCAGUGGCGAAGGCGGCCUUCUGGACUGACACUGACACUGAGGUGCGAAAGCGUGGGUAGCAAACAGGAUUAGAUACCCUAGUAGUC
rnacentral:rRNA from 1 species